UCCCUGAUGGUCGAUUGGUUAACUCUGCCUUUCCAACGCAGGAUGCACAGGUUCGAUCCCUGGUUGGGGAG
rnacentral:tRNA from 1 species